rnacentral:rRNA from 1 species
UACAGAGGGUGCGAGCGUUAAUCGGAAUUACUGGGCGUAAAGCGUGCGUAGACGGCUAUCUAAGUCGGGUGUGAAAGCCCCGGGCUCAACCUGGGAAUUGCAUUCAAGACUGAAUAGCUAGGGUGCGGUAGAGGGAAGCGGAAUUUCCGGUGUAGCGGUGAAAUGCGUAGAUAUCGGAAGGAACAUCAGUGGCGAAAGCGGCUUCCUGGACCAGCACCGACGUUCAGGCACGAAAGCGUGGGGAGCAAACAGG